GGCUCGGUAGUGGAUGGUCCACGCCUCCAAAUAAUGGCCAUCACAUCGCGAUCUUGAGGAGGAACCGCCCGUUCGACUCGGGCCCGAGCCA